GAAAUAGACUAUCUGUCUGGCAGGUU
rnacentral:piRNA from 1 species